rnacentral:rRNA from 1 species
UACGUAGGUGGCAAGCGUUAAUCGGAAUUACUGGGCGUAAAGCGCACGCAGGCGGUUUGUUAAGUCAGAUGUGAAAUCCCCGGGCUCAACCUGGGAACUGCAUCUGAUACUGGCAAGCUUGAGUCUCGUAGAGGGGGGUAGAAUUCCAGGUGUAGCGGUGAAAUGCGUAGAGAUCUGGAGGAAUACCGGUGGCGAAGGCGGCCCCCUGGACGAAGACUGACGCUCAGGUGCGAAAGCGUGGGGAGCAAACAGG